rnacentral:rRNA from 1 species
CCCUUAGAUGUUCUGGGCCGCACGCGCGCUACACUGAUGCAUUCAACGAGUUUUUCCUUGGCCGAGAGGCCUGGGCAAUCUUUUAAACGUGCAUCGUGAUAGGGAUAGAUUAUUGCAAUUAUUAAUCUUGAACGGGGAAUUCCUAGUAAACGCAGAUCAUCAAUCUGCAUUGAUUACGUCCCUGCCCUUUGUACACACCGCCCGUCGCACCUACCGAUUGAAUGGUCCGGUGAAGCCUCGGGAUUGUGGCGAGUUCCCUUUAUUGGGAGUUUGUCGCGAGAACUUGUCUAAACCUUAUCAUUUAGAGGAAGGUGAAGUCGUAACA